rnacentral:piRNA from 1 species
UGCAAGAGAGGUCUAUUUACAAGUAC